UGCACUAACGGACGUUACAUUCCCAUACAAAACUGCGUAGUUAAAGCUAAGGAAAAGUUAAUAUCAUGUUAAUUAAAUACGCUAUUUACAAUAAGACAUUGAACUCAUUUAUAUCGUUGAAUAUGAAUAACCAAUUUCAGCGAAUUUUUAACAAACAUCGUUCACCUCGUUUAAGGAUAUCUUGUGUAUGGGGUGUUGACUUGCUUUAUCGAAUAAUUACCGUACCU